AUUGAACGCUGGCGGCAGGCCUAACACAUGCAAGUCGAGCGGAUGAAGGGAGCUUGCUCCUGGAUUCAGCGGCGGACGGGUGAGUAAUGCCUAGGAAUCUGCCUGGUAGUGGGGGAUAACGUCCGGAAACGGGCGCUAAUACCGCAUACGUCCUGAGGGAGAAAGUGGGGGAUCUUCGGACCUCACGCUAUCAGAUGAGCCUAGGUCGGAUUAGCUAGUUGGUGGGGUAAAGGCCUACCAAGGCGACGAUCCGUAACUGGUCUGAGAGGAUGAUCAGUCACACUGGAACUGAGACACGGUCCAGACUCCUACGGGAGGCAGCAGUGGGGAAUAUUGGACAAUGGGCGAAAGUCUGAUCCAGCCAUGCCGCGUGUGUGAAGAAGGUCUUCGGAUUGUAAAGCACUUUAAGUUGGGAGGAAGGGCAGUAAGUUAAUACCUUGCUGUUUUGACGUCACCAACAGAAUAAGCACCGGCUAACUUCGUG
rnacentral:rRNA from 1 species